rnacentral:lncRNA from 1 species
UGGGCGGGAAAGGACGGACGGGUUAAGUAGCCAAUCACCAAUUGCGCUCCAGCCAGAGGGGCGAUGUUCUUGGGGAGCCUGGGGAUCUGGAAGAAGUUCAGUGUGAGGACGAGUGUUAGGAAAUAAGGCUGAAGACAGAGGCAACCCUGGAGGAUCUUCUAACCCAUGUCAAGCAGUUGAGAAUUUAUGGAGUGAAAUAGCAAGCCAUUGAAGAGUUUCAAGCUUUCAUCCAGCUUUUAAGGGAAACUAAUAUCUCAUGAAAUUGUGAGGGCCUGGAAUCUUCAAAGAGCCAAGGAUUCUGCCAGACUGAGCAAUAGACUUGAUGAGCAUUCUCCACUUAAGAUCUGAACUAUGAGAAGUCGAAUCAAAGCAGUUCUUUUGUAAUUCCAAACAGCCAUUUAGACAUAUGAAGAAAUGAAAGUAAAGCAGUUCUAAAGACAAGGAAGAGGGUCAAUGAAAGAUCUACUUAAUCAGAAUCCUGACUGAAUUGACUCUGGGGAUCUGCCUUUUUACCAAGUUGCACAGAGGACCCUUGUGUAAAGUUUGAAAACAGUGUGAUAAGGCCAUCAUGAAGAUUAAAUGAGCCAUAUUCUAUGAAGCACCUGAAAUGUGCUCCCAAUGCAAUCACAAAGAUCUUUAAAAGUGGAAGAAGGUGGGAGAGGUCAGAGUGAUACGAAGAGAACUCAGUCUACCACUGCUGGCUUUGAAGAUGGAAGAAUGGGGCUAUGAGCCCUGGAUUGCGGGCAGCCUGCAGAAGCUGGGGCAGAGAUUCCACACAGGCACCUCUAGAAAAUAAUGCAGCCAGCCAAUCCUUAGACUUUAUCCCAGUGAGAGUCAAGUUGGACUUCUGACCUACAAAAGAGUAAAUAUCUAAAUUAUCUGUGGCAACAACUUGGUGGGGUCAACUCGAAUGUUUUUGUCG